UACGUAGGGUGCGAGCGUUGUCCGGAAUUAUUGGGCGUAAAGAGCUCGUAGGCGGCUUGUCGCGUCGGAUGUGAAAGCCCGGGGCUUAACCCCGGGUCUGCAUUCGAUACGGGCAGGCUAGAGUUCGGUAGGGGAGAUCGGAAUUCCCGGUGUAGCGGUGAAAUGCGCAGAGAUCGGGAGGAACACCCGUAGCGAAGGCGGCACUCUGGGCCGGUACUGACGCUGAGGAGCGAAAGCGUGGGGAGCGAACAG
rnacentral:rRNA from 1 species